AGCAAUAUAAUGUAAUUGGUAACAUAUAAAGCUCAUGCCUUUAUUAUAAUAGUUCAAAUCUAUUUAUUGCUU
rnacentral:tRNA from 1 species